rnacentral:rRNA from 1 species
UACGGAGGGAGCUAGCGUUGUUCGGAUAUACUGGGCGUAAAGCGCACGUAGGCGGCGCCGUAAGUCAGGGGUGAAAUCCCGGAGCUCAACUCCGGAACUGCCCUUGAAACUGCAGUGCUAGAAUCCUGGAGAGGCGAGUGGAAUUCCGAGUGUAGAGGUGAAAUUCGUAGAUAUUCGGAAGAACACCAGUGGCGAAGGCGACUCGCUGGACAAGUAUUGACGCUGAGGUGCGAAAGCGUGGGGAGCAAACAGGAUUAGAAACCCUCGUAGUCC